CUCCAGGCAAGAAGAGGAAGUCUCUGCUCACCUCAUACUCUUUGUUCUGGCUCCCACUGCUUUCCUGACCAGACUGCCUGGCUCAGUGCCUGCAGAAAUGAGCAGAGCUGUAUAUUCUCUCUCCCAAAAACAAGAGGAGCACAGCGGCUCAGUUGUUACUCCUUUGUAGGUCUCUGGGGAGAGUGCACUUCCAGGCUUCCUCUUACUCAAAUUACAAGGUUGCCCUUCAUUCCCAAGAGCCAAGAAAAAAGCUCAGCUUACAUGUGGUAAAAAAGAACUUGUAAAAGUUAUUUUUGAAGGGGCAGUAAAAAAGUCAGUAUUUGCAGUGGCUACCCUUGAUGUUGCUACUGUAUUUGAAACAGCUGGAGUGUAGGUCCCCUCAUUGGACCCAGGGCUUCCUCAUGUGCAGUUUAAAUGUGAAGGGAUUCAGGCAAAAGGUUUGCUCUCUUUGAACUUUCCCUGCUAUCUAGAGGCACUAAAAAAGGCAAAGGAGCCAGCUGAGUGACUGCAGCAGUUCAUCUUCCACAGUGCUGCACGGGCACUCUGCAAUGCUGUGCUGUGGCAGAUGGCAGCAGGUGGGGAGAGAACAUGGGAGCAAAAAGGGGCUUGAGUGAAGCUUUCUUAGAAGAAAUCACAGCAUCAUUCCUGGGCUCUGAAAAGGCAGUGGGAUGCCUGCCUUUCUGUAGAGGCACAGAUAUUUGCAGUGGAGGAACCAGGAUGGGGCUGCUGCGGACGUGGAGCACAGCCCGUUGA
rnacentral:lncRNA from 1 species